rnacentral:lncRNA from 1 species
GAGUCAGAUUCUUGCAGAAGCUCGUCUGGAAUCCAUCCACUGUGGAAGUUUGGACAGAGUCUGAUCCUUGCAGAAGCUUGUCCGGAAUCCAUCCACUAUGAAAGUUCAGACGGAGUCUGAUUCUUGCAGGAGCUCGUCCGGAAUCCAUCCACUGUGGAAGUUCGGACGGAGUCCGAUUCUUGCAGGAGGUCGAAAGGAGGUCGCUUAUUGUAGGAGCUCGAUCGAAGAUCGAUUGUCGUGGGAGCUCGGAGUAACGACCUGGCCAGUGGAUCCUGCCCCAUGGUAGAAGCUCGUCUGGGAUCCAGCUACGAAGAAGUUCGGUUGAAGUCUACCUGUAGUAGAAGUUUGGAAGAAAUUUGUUUACAGUAGAGGCUUGAAUAGAAUUUGCUUACAGUAGAUAUCUGGGGUAGACAGCCCGCUGUAGGAAUUCGGUGUAGACC